CUUGUACUCCCUUCAUCCGAAAAUACUUGUCAUUGAAAUGGAUGUAUCUAGAUGUAUUUUAGUUCUAGACACAUCCAUUUUGAUGACAAGUAAUUCCGGACGGAGGGAGUACUUG
rnacentral:pre_miRNA from 1 species